rnacentral:RNase_P_RNA from 2 species
ACAGCUCGAAAGCUACGAGGCUCAUCACGUACAAGACGCGUCUCGCACGCGUCUUUCCUUCUGAGCGGGAUAAGGUCUGAGCGUUCCAAUCUCCCUCGAUCGUCUCUAGCUGGGACCAGUCUUAAUGGACUGAGCGACGUACCAGAAAAACAGUUGCACUACGGUCCAACUUUGAAAGGCGUCGUGGAGAUCGGGCGGGUUUCCUCUGCCUUACCAUCAUAUGCAGAUCGGUGCUCUCUCUAUCGUGGUGGGCUGUGUCCUCUUGUGGACGCACAAUAGUGGUCGCUGGUGAGUCAGCUCCUAGGGAGCAGAUUCAGCAGCAGUGUGGAUUGCUUGGCACCUCGGGCAACCGAGGAGAGGAGCAGCACAGCACAAAUUGUCGCUGAACGGGUCAGAGAGCCCACCUGCUAACGGGAAUUUCAGGCGAAAAAAUAUUGCCCAAUGUGGAGAACUCCCCAAGUGACCUUACCGUCACCCUCUGUGAUUAGGAACCACCUGGACUCAAAGAAGUCCCUCCUGAGAAUGGUGGUAAAUCCAGUCAGCCUGGUCAAUCCCGGCCACGUUGUCCCUACACUGUAUCAACCAGUGUCACGACCGUCGUACCAUAUCGGAACGAUGGAUGUGCGCCGUACGAGGAGAGGAGCCGAUCAGUCGUCUUGGUAUAGGACUACCCGCCCUUUAGUUCACUUCGUGGCUUGCAGUCCUUGGUUGGCUGCGAAACUCGAUUCAGACUACUCUCGAACUUU